UCCCUUCAUUGCAGCAACCCAAACCCAAAAUCGAUAAACCAAACAGCCCCAAAAUCAAUUGUCGGCCGGUCACCGUUUUCUCCAUUCCCUUUUCGGCCGUGCGCCAUUAACACCACCCUUCAACUUCCCUUUUUCACUCCUUAUUUAACCUCUUCUCCUUAGAACGAAGAUGAAGUUUCAGACACUGCAGGUCCUUGCCGGAAUAAUUUCCUUGCAGCCAGAAGAUGGGAGAGGCGUUAUAUGGAUACAAUCGAUCGUUACUAAACCCUAAGAAUUAACGUCGUGUAUCUAUGAAUGUAGUAUCUCAGAACGCCUUAGCAAUUUCCACUUGCGAUUUGACAAUUUGUUCAAUCCAGCGCCUCUAUCCUUAGACAAAUGAUUUUGCAGGAGAUUUAGGUACAUCGAUGGGGGCACGUUGUGGCUGUGCUGCCACCGGAGAACGUGGUGAAGGAGCCUUUGGUGGCGAAACAACAGGUGGAGGAGGAGCAACAGGUGAUCUUGGCGGUGGAGUUGCUGGAGUGGAACGUGGGGAAGCUGCAGGCACUGGCUGAGGCUGUGGUGCUGAAAUCGGGCUACGCGGGACCGACAUUGCUGGUUGUGGUUGUGGCUGAGGAGGUGCUGGCGGUAGUGGUGCAGGGGCGGCAGAAGGAGGAGCAGAAGCAGUAGCUGGUGUUUGUGGUCUAGAUUCUUGAGGUUGAGUUGGCUGAGCAGUAGCAACAGUUGCUGUAGCAGCAGUAGUAGUUGCUGAUGCCGGAGGCCUAAAUGGGGUGGUAGUCGUAGUCCGGAACAAUGGUUGUGGGGCUGGGGCGGGUGGUGGAGCUGGAGCUGAAGGUUGUGCAGCUGCAGCAGGACGAACCAUAGAGGCGAAACGGAACAAUGGACGAGGUUGUUGUUGGCUUGCCAUUGAUGGAUAGUAUGGUUAAAACUCUCAAAAGAUUAUUAGUACUUGUGAAAAGCUGAACUCUCCAAAAAUGCUUCCACAAUGAAAUAACUCAAAUGCAUUACACUUA